CACGGCUACAGCCGCCCCAAUGCCGACCGAGGCUCCGGUCACCAGAGCCACUCUACCCCGCCAGCGCUCCAUCACAGACAGCCGUAACCAGCUCACGCCCCAAACUUAUGAAGAGAGGGACGUGCCAAGCGUGUGCUCUCAACGCAGGGGAAACAAAUUCUGCCGGGGACAACUACCUUGACAUGACUGCCACAAUAAAAACUGAACUUCAACUGGUUCAAAAAUCCUUGCCCGCAUACCAGUACAUCAUCCCUAUCCUUC